GUGGAGGAAGAAAAGUGAUGACAGAUGAUGGUCACACACCCAGUGAGGGUAUUUAAAGUCUGCACUUCCAUCCCUGAUCAUCCUGGUUCCAGGUCCUGCUGCUGAGACGACUUCACUGCUCACAACCCAAAGAACGAUGGCCUCAGUUCUCUACUUGGCGUUGCUCCUCUCUCUGAGCUGCGUUCUCUGGAGCGGAGCCGAUGUGAGUCUGCCUUCUUCUUUUCUCAUGUGGAAAACAUUAUAAA